rnacentral:rRNA from 1 species
ACGGAGGGUGCAAGCGUUAUUCGGAAUUACUGGGCGUAAAGAGCGUGUAGGCGGACCUAUAAGUCUGAUGUGAAAGCCCAGGGCUUAACCCGGGAAGUGCAUUGGAAACUGCUGGUCUUGAGUACGGGAGAGGAUGGGGGAAUUCCCGGUGUAGAGGUGAAAUUCGUAGAGAUCAGGAGGAAUACCAGUGGCGAAGGCGCCCAACUGGACUGUAACUGACGCUGAGACGCGAAAGCGUGGGGAGCAAACAG